AGAAAAGCAAGAAGUGCCUGAACCGAGAAUGGAAAGAGAGGUUCGUGGUCUCCUGGGUAGAUUGAACUACAUGUCAUAGUUCAUAUCUCACCUAACAACCACGUGUGAACCUAUACUCAAGUUGUUGGAAAAAGGAGAUCAAACGGUCAGGUGAAAUAAUGAUUGCCAAGGGGCAUUGAAAAAUAAAAGAAUAAGUUGCAGGAACCUCCGAUU
rnacentral:lncRNA from 1 species